rnacentral:rRNA from 1 species
GCUAAUACCGCAUAAGCGCACGAGGCUGCAUGGCCUUGUGUGAAAAACUCCGGUGGUAUGGGAUGGAUCCGCGUCUGAUUAGCUAGUUGGUGAGAUAAAAGCCCACCAAGGCGACGAUCAGUAGCCGACCUGAGAGGGUGGCCGGCCACAUUGGGACUGAGACACGGCCCAAACUCCUACGGGAGGCAGCAGUGGGGAAUAUUGCACAAUGGGGGAAACCCUGAUGCAGCAACGCCGCGUGAGUGAAGAAGUAUUUCGGUAUGUAAAGCUCUAUCAGCAGGGAAGAAGAAGGACGGUACCUGACUAAGAAGCCCCGGCUAACUACGUGCCAGCAGCCGCGGUAAUACGUAGGGGGCGAGCGUUAUCCGGAUUUACUGGGUGUAAAGGGAGCGUAGACGGUUUUUCAAGUCUGAAGUGAAAGCCCGCGGCUCAACUGCGGAACGGCUUUGGAAACUGAGGGACUAGAGUGCUGGAGGGGCAGGCGGAAUUCCUGGUGUAGCGGUGAAAUGCGUAGAUAUCAGGAGGAACACCGGUGGCGAAGGCGGCCUGCUGGACAGUAACUGACGUUGAGGCUCGAAAGCGUGGGGAGCAAACAGGAUUAGAUACCCUGGUAGUCCACGCGGUAAACGAUGAAUGCUAGGUGU